AUAUUUUAUCUCCUCUAUUUUGCCUUUUCACUAUUUCUGAGUCUCUUGUCCUGAUAUUUGUUUCUACUUCUCUAUAGCUUUGCUUGUUUCUCAAUCUAUCUUUUUAUCCCAUUGUGAUGUUUUUAAAAGAAUUUUAUUUAUUCAGCUGUAUCAAUUCUGUUAUUCAACCAUCCACUAAUUCCCUUAUUUCAACAAUUAUAUUUUCAAAGUCAAAAUUUCGAAUUGAUUUUUCUUUAUAAUUGCUUCUUCCUGUGGCAUUUUUCAGUAGUCUUCCAUAUCUCUGUGGUGAUGUUAAUUGUACUUAUUUUGUACUUGUAUUUAUGUACUUGAUCAGUUUUUGAGGUUUUUUUUAAGUGGUUAACAUCUUUACUGCCUUGGAGGUGUUGGGGGGCAGGUACUCAGGAGCUGUUGGUGGGGCAGGCAGCUUCCUCUUCACUAUUACAGGCUUCUGGCUGCACAGGGUGGCACUGGCUCUGUGGACCGCAGCCAAGUACAGAUCUGGGUGGUACGUGUUCUCCUAGGUCAUAUGCCUGAAGUUGAGGGUGGCCAGUGUGUUGUUGAAGGUGGUCUGCACCAGGAAGUCACAGGGUUUCACUGGCUAGAUCUCUGCAUCCUGACCACCACUACACCUCUGCCAUAGCCCCAACUCCACGCCCACAGUCUUACAGUGAAUCAGCCCAUUGUAGCGAAGGAGUUGCAGCCUUCAGAUGACUGGGGUUCAUGCUGUAUGACUGCUUAUUCCUCUUGAUCAGGAAGCCAGAGCAAUUCCACUGGAGACCAUCCAUCACAGAAAAGGCCAAGGAGGAUAACGGAAAAGGAAGAGUUGUCCAAUCAAACAUCGUGGAGAACACAGACUAAGAAAUGACUCCCAGAAAAUAUCACUGAAGCAAAUCAAGGAACAGUCCCUACCAUUAGUGUAGAGGAACUUGCAACUUCUGUUCAGUGGAAUAUCAGAACUUUUAUUCACCAGUGACUGGUCACGGAAUCAAGAAGAGCAGCCAGCAGACAUGAUAUAUAUUCACCAGAUUCUGGACAUCUGAGCCCAAUGCCUGAAACAUGAGAAGCAGAGCUGAAUGCUCAAUCACAGUUAUCCCAUCCAUCCAUCAGACAAGAUGGAGGUGAAGGCCUGUGCAUGGCACACAGUGCUGCCAGUCUCUGUUGGGCAUGAAGAAGUCUGAAAGAGCUCACUCUUGUACAUGACUCUGCUGGGAGGAUCUUUCCUAUGACUUACAAGGUUCUCUUCCUCCCACCUAGGUACCACCUGCAAUUGCUGGUCCAGAAUGCCCAUCCUAAAGAGAAAUGAUAGCCAGAUGGAAUCAUCCUGGGAUGUAGUAUACAAAGAUACUACAAGAGAAAAGAUGGAAAGGGACAGAGCAUGGGGGCUAGGGAGCAGUGGUGUGGUGACAAAUUAAAAAGCAUCAGAAAUAUGCCAGAAAUGUGGCACUACAGCCCAGGCAAAAAUUAGCAUCAAGUCCAUGUAUCGCCAAGAAUUCACAAAAGGUAAUGAAGCUAUUGAUUGAUGAAAUAAGAAUUUUUCCAUUGGGUUAUGAGGGCCCAGGGAAGAUAAAGUGAAAUAAUAGGUGGAAAAAACAAGCCCUUAGGGAAAUAUGAGGGUUAUUUUGGAAGCAGCACCAAGGAGAAUAGACACUGCUGAGAACAUAUAAGGACGGUGGACGACAAGAGUGAGAAAGUGAAAUGGCAAUAAACAAGAAUUGGAAGGGAAUGUAGAUAAAUGAUCAAUAAAGAAGACACAUUCAUUGGAUCCAGAAUUAAUGAGAGAGGACUCUAAAUCCUAAAUGGCACAUCUUAUUCAAGGGAAUACAAAGUUACAUCAGAUUGUCAACACUAAGACAUAGCGUAGUGAAGUCCUGAAUAUCCAAGAUAGAGAUUUCCUAACAAUGGAAACAUUAUAUAAAUAGCACAAUUCAGAGAAAAAAAAAAAGGAAGGUAAUGUAAGGGUAGAGACUUCCUUAACUUUCACAGCCAGGCAGCAAAGCUGACAAACCAGCUAAUACAACUUUUUAAAAUAUACAAAUAUAAUAGAGUAAUAAAAAUCAAAAUCAGCUACUAGAAGGAGUACUAAGGAGAAGUGGAAAUUGCUGACUUCACCAUUAAUAUGGUAAGGAGUCAAAGAAUGCUGAUCAAAGAAAUAGAGGUCUUAAGUAAAGUAUACCACAUGCUUAUUAAAACAAACCACUAGAGAAAAAUUUAUAUUUUUCAUAUAAUCAGCAAAAAGCAAGAAAAAACACAGACCACAUAGUGAAAUGUAGAAAUAAAAAGGUCAACAAAAAAACAGAAGUGUAUCAUUAAUUAUGACAAAAAAUAAGAUCCAUCAAAUCCACUUUAAGAAAUGUAUCUUCCAAAUAUAUUCAUAUAUAUGUGAACGAGGUAUGUACAGAGAUGUCUACUGCACAGCUGUUUGUAACAGCAAAAGCCUGGGAACAAUUUAAAAGUUUAUUAAUGGCAACUGAUUCAAUAAAUUAUACCACAAAAUGGAA